rnacentral:rRNA from 1 species
CGGCGGCGUGCCUAAUACAUGCAAGUCGAGCGGACAGAAGGGAGCUUGCUCCCGGAUGUAGCGGCGGACGGGUGAGUAACACGUGGGUAACCUGCCUGUAAGACUGGGAUAACUCCGGGAAACCGGAGCUAAUACCGGAUAGUUCCUGAACCGCAUGGUUCAAGGAUGAAAGACGGUUUCGGCUGUCACUUACAGAUGGACCCGCGGCGCAUAGCUAGUUGGUGAGGUAACGGCUCACCAAGGCGACGAUGCGUAGCCGACCUGAGAGGGUGAUCGGCCACACUGGGACUGAGACACGGCCCAGACUCCUACGGGAGGCAGCAGUAGGGAAUCUUCCGCAAUGGACGAAAGUCUGACGGAGCAACGCCGCGUGAGUGAUGAAGGUUUUCGGAUCGUAAAGCUCUGUUGUUAGGGAAGAACAAGUGCAAGAGUAACUGCUUGCACCUUGACGGUACCUAACCAGAAAGCCACGGCUAACUACGUGCCAGCAGCCGCGGUAAUACGUAGGUGGCAAGCGUUGUCCGGAAUUAUUGGGCGUAAAGGGCUCGCAGGCGGUUUCUUAAGUCUGAUGUGAAAGCCCCCGGCUCAACCGGGGAGGGUCAUUGGAAACUGGGAAACUUGAGUGCAGAAGAGGAGAGUGGAAUUCCACGUGUAGCGGUGAAAUGCGUAGAGAUGUGGAGGAACACCAGUGGCGAAGGCGACUCUCUGGUCUGUAACUGACGCUGAGGAGCGAAAGCGUGGGGAGCGAACAGGAUUAGAUACCCUGGUAGUCCACGCCGUAAACGAUGAGUGCUAAGUGUUAGGGGGUUUCCGCCCCUUAGUGCUGCAGCUAACGCAUUAAGCACUCCGCCUGGGGAGUACGGUCGCAAGACUGAAACUCAAAGGAAUUGACGGGGGCCCGCACAAGCGGUGGAGCAUGUGGUUUAAUUCGAAGCAACGCGAAGAACCUUACCAGGUCUUGACAUCCUCUGACAACCCUAGAGAUAGGGCUUUCCCUUCGGGGACAGAGU